CGUCUGGAGAGUUAAAUACACUUUGGCGAAAAAAUGCUUUAAAGCAAAGACAUUUUUGCGCAAAAUGCACAUAAUGUGGAAUAAAUUGUCCAUAUGCAUAUUGUUUUACGCGACCAUAUGUUAAUGAUGGAUCAUAACUAAAUAUUAAUUAAUAUUAUUAAUUAACGAAGUUUAAAAUUUAUAUUAAAUUUAAAAAAUAUUUUAAAGAUUAGAUUUUAUAAAAAUGAAAGUUAUAUUUUUGCAUUUAUAUUUAUUUAUCUUACUGUGCAGAAUCUUCUUCUUUUACAUAUGCACUAGAUGCAACAUCUAUUGGUCUUCCUCCAAUUCCAGCGUUUCUAUCACGUACUACACGAUAACCAUUUAAAAAAUGAAAUUUUUGUAAUAAUCUAUAGUCUUUGAUCUUUAAAAAGAUAUGUUUUCACUUAAAUUUCAUUCUAAUAUGAUAAUUAUAAUAAUUAAUUUAUAAGUAUUUUGCUGACUUACGCUUGGAUCUUGAAAUCUAUAACCUGGUAAAAGUGCCAUACAUCCUGCAGACAAGCAGCCAGCCACUGGUACAGUAAUUAACCAUGCAAAUGCAAUAUUACGAAAUAAUUUCCAUGAAACUCCCUCACCACCAUGUGAAGCCCAUCCUACACAGACAACAGAUCCGACUUUGCAAUGAGUUGUUGACACAGUUUCAAUUUGAGCACCCUCAGUAUCUGAUCCUGCUACCAUUAAGAGAGGACUUGCACUGCUAUUGCCUCGUAAUUUUGGCGCUACUUCUUUUGCAUUACCAUUACUACUACUACUACAUGGGGC